CAGGCCUAACACAUGCAAGUCGAGGGGUAACAGGGAGUGCUUGCACUCCGCUGACGACCGGCGCACGGGUGCGUAACGCGUAUGCAACCUACCUUUCACAGGGGGAUAGUCAAGAGAAAUUUUGAAUAAUACCCCAUACGUUCUUAAAACAGCAUUUUUUGAGAAGAAAAUUUCGGUGGUGAAAGAUGGGCAUGCGUCCUAUUAGCUAGUAGGUGAGGUAACGGCUCACCUAGGCAACGAUAGGUAGGGGUCCUGAGAGGGAGAUCCCCCACACUGGUACUGAGACACGGACCAGACUCCUACGGGAGGCAGCAGUGAGGAAUAUUGGACAAUGGAGGCAACUCUGAUCCAGCCAUGCCGCGUGCAGGAAGACUGCCCUAUGGGUUGUAAACUGCUUUUAUACAGGAAGAAACACUCCCUCGUGAGGGAGCUUGACGGUACUGUACGAAUAAGGAUCGGCUAACUCCGUGCCAGCAGCCGCGGUAAUACGGAGGAUCCAAGCGUUAUCCGGAAUCAUUGGGUUUAAAGGGUCCGCAGGCGGUCUAUUAAGUCAGAGGUGAAAGCCUACCGCUCAACGGUAGAACUGCCUUUGAUACUGAUAGACUUGAGUUAUUGUGAAGUAGUUAGAAUGUGUAGUGUAGCGGUGAAA
rnacentral:rRNA from 1 species